rnacentral:rRNA from 1 species
CCUACGGGCGGCAGCAGUGAGGAAUAUUGGUCAAUGGGCGCGAGCCUGAACCAGCCAAGUCGCGUGAAGGAUGACUGCCCUACGGGUUGUAAACUUCUUUUAUAAGGGAAUAAAAUAAGGCACGUGUGCCGUUUUGUAUGUACUUUAUGAAAAAGGAUCGGCUAACUCCGUGCCAGCAGCCGCGGUAAUACGGAGGAUCCGAGCGUUAUCCGGAUUUAUUGGGGUUAAAGGGUGCGUAGACGGGUUGUUAAGUCAGUUGUGAAAUUUUGCGGCUCAACCGUAAAAUGGCAAUUGAUACUGGUAGUCUUGAGUACAGGUGAGGUAUGCGGAAUUCGUGGUGUAGCGGUGAAAUGCUUAGAUAUCACGCAGAACUCCGAUUGCGAAGGCAGCUUACU